rfam:Ictidomys tridecemlineatus contig026130, whole genome shotgun sequence.
GGGGAUGUAGCUCAGUGGUAGAGCACUUAGUAUAUAAGAGGUGAGGCCCUGGGUUCAAAUCCCAGCACCACAA